GAUGAACGCUGGCGGCGUGCCUAAUACAUGCAAGUCGAGCGAACAGACGAGGAGCUUGCUCCUCUGACGUUAGCGGCGGACGGGUGAGUAACACGUGGAUAACCUACCUAUAAGACUGGGAUAACUUCGGGAAACCGGAGCUAAUACCGGAUAAUAUAUUGAACCGCAUGGUUCAAUAGUGAAAGACGGUUUUGCUGUCACUUAUAGAUGGAUCCGCGCCGCAUUAGCUAGUUGGUAAGGUAACGGCUUACCAAGGCGACGAUGCGUAGCCGACCUGAGAGGGGGGCGGCCCCCACGGGAUCUGAGCCCCCGCCACGCCCCCGACGGGAGCACCCGGGAGGCAUUCUCCCCAAAGGGGCGAAACCCGGACGGAGCACCCCCGGGUGAGGGAGAAAGGUCUCCGGUUCGUAAAACUCUUUUAUUGGGGAAAAACAAAUGUGUAAUUAACUUGGCCCGUCUUGACGCUCCCUAAUCAGAAACCCCCGUCUACCUCCGCC
rnacentral:rRNA from 1 species